rnacentral:rRNA from 1 species
UACGUAGGGUGCGAGCGUUAAUCGGAAUUACUGGGCGUAAAGCGUGCGCAGGCGGUUCGUUAAGUCAGAUGUGAAAGCCCCGAGCUCAACUUGGGAACUGCAUUUGAAACUGGCGGGCUGGAGUGUGGCAGAGGGGGGUGGAAUUCCACGUGUAGCAGUGAAAUGCGUAGAGAUGUGGAGGAACACCGAUUGCGAAGGCAGCUCGCUGGAACGUUACUGACGCUGAGACGCGAAAGCGUGGGGAGCAAACAGG